GCCCGACUGGCUUAGUCGGUGGAGCAUGUGACUCUUGGUCUCUGGGUUGUGGGUUCGAGUCCCACAUUAGGUG
rnacentral:tRNA from 1 species